rnacentral:lncRNA from 1 species
AAUAAUAUGUAUAUAUAUAUAUAUAUUUAGGUCCAUUGGAUCCUUUUUACUUUACUUACAUAAAAAAACAAAAAAAAGAAAUAAUAAAAAAGGAGAAAUCCAAGGAAAACACUCCCAACGGUCUGCCAGACACCUCACCCCACUAAGUUCCCACUCACAUUCCACUCUUCCACUCUCAUUCCUCAGCACAUACUGAAUAAAACAAAAA